rnacentral:lncRNA from 10 species
AGACCACAUUUCAAUGACUUAUGUUUCAUUAAUGAGUCAUCAUCAAUUUCUCUUUCAUUUUGAUAGCCCCCUCUUAGGAUUCAGGUUUUGAGGUAACUCUUCUACUAGACAACAUUUUAAAGUAGUAACUAUUUUUCUCAUUGCUAUUAACCAAGCCACACAUUAAUGCCGAGCUUCUGUUAAGUAAAAAAUAACUAGGGAUACCAGACUGAGUUUUUCAGCCCAGUCAGAAGAAAAGCAAUUUGACAUACUGUUACCCUUUGCAGUCUUAGCAAGAGAAAGACAAUGCGCUUGUUUAUUGUCUAAAUUAGCACUUUGCCCCUGAUACUCCUCAAAGCUGAAAGACCCUCUAAGAUCAAGAACUGAUGAAGGCUAUAGAAAAAUGUGCUGCUCAAAAGGAGAUUUCCAUCUCGAAAAGGCAAAUUACUGGGAAAAAUGAAUCUGUUUUCUCUGCCAAGGCUGAAGAAGACUCAGAUUUCUGACACAAUGGUAACACCUAUCCCUUCUGCCUGUGACUGCCAGGGCUUGCUGUAUGAUGAUAAGAAGAGAAUGUGACACAGAGGAAGGGGAAAAAGUCCAUCCCUCUGGUAGUAGGGGGUUGUGGAAUGGGAGGGAAAAAGGGAGAAGGAGAAGUAGAAAAUACUCAUAUCUAAAUGUCUUCAUGUCUUCUGCUUGACUUUAGCCAGGAAUGAGUGUUAGGAAAGAGGGGAUGCUCUAGAAGAGGAAGCUAUGGAGUCUUAUUUGGGUCUAUGUAAAUAGCCCAACCACAGGCCCUUCUGCCCAAUCUAGGGCAGACCCAUACCAGAGUUUAACGUGGCAACAAAGUGUGGUUAGACAGAAGUUAGGCAUGGAGUUUAGCUUUUCAAGGCAGCUUUCCAUCACUACAAGGCCAAGGCAGAAAUUAAAUAUCUCAUUUCCUUUUUGCAGGGUAGAGCAAGCAGGGCAAAGGGGAAUGACUGAGCAAUCAGGUGACUUGAGAGCCAAAUAACAUUCCCAUUCACAGGGUCUGAAUUGGUGAAAUGUAUCAAGAUCUUCAGCUUGAGAUGGACCAUCAGAGCAGGAGGCCAGAAGAGAGACAUGGGGUUUGUUGUGAUAACUAGAGCUAAAGUGAGCUAAGUGAUCAGUAGAGCAACACUGGGCUCUGGCCAACCAAAAUAAACCAGACCAUGAGCUCCACCAGAUAAGGCCCUCUGCUACAAGUACAGUAGGUGAGCAGCACCCAGGCAGAGAGAGGCAUUGUCAGGAAGACUGAAGGAAAGAGGAGCAUCACAAGUGAUGAGGAGCUGAUCUUCACCUAGGCAAGGAGGUGGGAAAGUCUUCCUUCCCCCAGAUGCCCUGGGAGAGAAUUGGGGAACAGGAAGACUCUGGGAAACUGAGCAUUUCUUUUUAUCAAAAGAUAAAGAGCACAAGGAUUAUUUACAUCAUUGUAAUAACCUACAUUUUUUAGGCAUAAUUUUAGAAACAUAUCUUGGCUGCAUAUAUGUGAGAUUGCUUACAUUUUUAAACAUUACAAUUGCUUAUUAAAUAAAAGAAGGACCCAAAUAAGAAAGAAGAGAAAAAAUAAGCAAGAUGCUUAAAAUGACUUAUCUCCUUCAACAGUAGAGUUCUCCAGCAAGAGAAAUACUAAAACCUAAGCUGUUGCUUUAGCACUAAGAUUAAGGUUCCUUCCCAAGUGUUAGUCCCAGUAAAGAAGGGUAUGAGAAAAAAUUGUGAAGUGCAUGCAAUUUGUUGUUACUUCUUUCAUGAUUCAACAUUCUACUAAGCUACCUGAUUUACCCUGGUUUUGUUGUUGUUAUUGUUGUUUUUAGCCAUUACAAAUACUUUGCUCUCAGGGAAGACUCAGAUAUUAAUUAUAAAUCUCAGGGUGAGUUUAUUAAUGCUAAAUGAUGAACAGUGUUAUAUUGAAAGAUAUUUCAAAAACAACCAAAUCUAGUUUCCAUAGCAACUAUUUUGUAUAUGGAAGAGACACAGAAAUUAAAGAAAAAAGACCUACCACUUACUGUGUGACCUUGACCUCUUUGAUAAUGUUUCUUCAUUUGUGAAAUAAUGAAAAACUAAUCAUUACUCUACCAACUCUCUUCCUUUUUAUGAAGAUUGAAACCACAUUAGUGAAAGUGCUUUGUGGUCUUUGAAGAAUAUAGUUAUAAUUGUUAUGUCAAAGACCAAAAGAGAUAUUCAGGACUCAAGGCAGGCCUUCAGGGUUUCCCUGAGAUAGCACUGUGGGCAUUGUUUCAUGAUCUUUUACUAUAUGAGAAGUAGAGAAAGGAAGAGAGUUCUAAAUGUUCAUAUACUGUGGUCAUAAAAUGCUUAAAUUACUCCCUCCUAAUCCACUUCUAAGAUAAAUAUUGGUGAGGAGCCAGGAUAGGCACUUUUUUUGUUAUUUACAAUCGUGGGGAAGGAGUUGAGUUGAAAUCAAAGCCUUUAGUAAUUUAAUAUAAUGGUGUAUAGGAUCUGAGUGCCCUACUGCCUCCUAGCAAUAAAAAGUUUGACUUCUAGAGUCAAGAACUUCUGUUUUUGCUAGUCUCCCCAAAAUUGUCACUCUGUGAAUAUACACAUUUUCUGUUCACAGUAGUAGGGAUGUGGAUUUUUUGCUUAUCAUGCUAGUUACUCCCUUGAAAAACUGAGUGGUAUUUAUAUGAUUGAUAAGCUUAUAUACCACAUAAAACCCAUGCUCCAGCUUGAACAGUUAUGGAUGGGUAAUGAUAUGUCUUGGUUUGCUGAAAAUAUAAUUACAAAGUAAUUAUUAAUGACUUACCUUUCAGUCUCAAAAAUGUUCCAGUUCCAACAAUUAAUUAUAUAAUCAUUUUACUUAUACCUAUAUGCGAACCAGAAUUGGGACACAUGGGCACCCUCGAUAAAACCCAGAUUUAAUCAACUGCAAAAAUCUUCCUCAGAAAAAGAAAAAUUCAAAGUUUCAAGAACUAGAACUUCAUGUUAAUUUUUAACGAAUAGCUCUGACGUUGGUGACCUAUUUCAGAAAUAUUGUAGCAAUUUAAAAGAGUAAUACAGAAUAACAACUUUUGCUACUUUGUGGAUCAUACAAGCUAGUAUAAGAUUAGAAAGAGAAAAGAUCAGUGUAAUUGAUUUGAUAGAAUCAUAAAAAUUACUCUUAGCAGAAUUAGGGUGAAUGAAGUCUAUCUUCGAUAACUAGAUAAUAUUUAAAUAGUAAUCAUUUCAGACAUUUUGAGUGUCAUUUUGUAAAACUGGGUCCAUCUUGAUGAAGGUUCCAAGUCAUUUGAAAAGAAUAUAUAUCAUUUCAUCAUUGAAUAUAAUCUUCAGUUAACGUCAAUUAGCUCAAGUUGGUUGGUAAUGUUGUAUUAUUCAGGUCUAGUAUAUCCUCAUUAAUUUUCUUUCUACUUCUUCUAUCAAGUACCGACAGAAGAUAUGAGAGUGUUGAAUUCACUCUCAUGGUAUGAGACAUGAGAGUGUUGAAUUCAUUCUCACGGUGUUGAAUUCAUUUGAUAGAAUUCAGUACUUCUAUCAAGUACUGAUAUGAGAGUGUUCAAUGAACUCUAUCACCCUGCAGUGAUAUAGAACAAUAUAACUUAUUCCGCCUAUCUAGCUGUAAUUUUGUAUCCAUUAAUCAACCUCUCCCUAUAUCCCAUUUUCCCCAACCCUUACCAGCCUCUAGUGAGCAUUCUACUCUCCAUUUUUAUGAGAUCAACUUAUUUAGCUUCCAAAAAUGAGUGAGAAUAUGCGAUAUUUAUCAUUUUGUAUCUGGCUUAUUUCACUUCAUAUAAUAUUCUUCAAACUCCUCCAUGAUGCCACAAAUGACAGGACUCUUUUUUUAGCUUAGAGUCUAUUUUAUCUGAUGUAAGUUUAGCUACUGAUCACUUUUGGUUUUCCAUUGCAUGGAAUAUCUUUUUCCACCCCUUAACUUUAAAUCUAUGUGUGUUUUUAAAGGUGAAGUGAGUUUUUUAUAGGAAGCAUAUAGUUGGGUGUUGUUUUUUUAAUCCAUUCAUUUCAAAAAAUCCAUCCUUUUUUUAAUCCAAAUGGUUUUUUAAGCCAUUUUAUAUCUUUUAAUUGGGGAAUUUAACCCAUUUAUAUUCAAGGUUACUAUUGAUAGCUGAGGUCUUACUCCUCUCAAUUUGUUAAUUGCUUUCUUAUUGUUUUGUGAAUCCUUUCUUUCUUCCUCUAGUAUUGUAUAUCCUUUUGGUUGGAUGUAUUUCUGUAGUGGUAAGUUAGAUACCUUUCUUCUGCUCAUUAGUGUAUCCAUUCUACCAGUGAGUUUUAUAUUCUCAUCUGUGUUCUUAUCCUUUCACUUCCAGAUGUGGGAUUCCCUGAAGUAUUUCUUGUAAGAUCUGUCUAGUGGUGAUACAUUUCCUGUUUUUGCUUGUCCAGGAAAUACUUUAUUUAGCCUUCAUUUUUAAAGAAUAGCUUUUCUGGGGGUAGUAUUCUUGGCCAGCAAAGGUUUUUUCAGCACCUUGAAUAUGUUGUCCCAUCCUCUCCUGGUGUGCAAGUUUUCUGCUGAGAAACAGUUGUUAGUCUAAUGGAGAUUUACUUAUAUGUGACUUAAGGCUUUUCUCUAUUUUUAAAAUUCUUUCUUUGUCUUUGCCUUUUGACAGUAAAAUCCCAAUAGGCCUUGGAGAGGAGCUUUUUGGAUUAAGUAUAUUUGGAGACUUUGAGAGCUAGAUAUCCUAGAUAACAUGGAUCUAGAUAUCCAUUUCUCUCUGAAGACAUGGGAAGUUUUCAGCUGUUAUUUUCUUAAAUAUGGUCACUAUGCCUCUUCUCAUUUCUUCUACUUCUGCAACUCUCAGAUUCAUAUAUUUCAUUAAAGCUACUUAAUGGUGUCCCAUAAAUCCUAUAGGCUUUGUGAAAGAAAAAUAAACCUUGGGACCCUAAAAUCCCUAAGCCAGAAGGAAAAGUCAAUCUGGGAACUGCAAGGGCAAACAUACCUUUCAUUCUACUCCUAAAUAAGAUAGCUACAUUUUUUUUUAAAGCUACAUACCUCCCUCACAAUUUGCCCAUAAGGAAAUUCCUUGCGAACAAAGGACAGAUAGAACUCAAAGUCAUCCCUCUGCUCAUGUGGGACAAAUGCCUAUCUGAUUGCUUCCUUUCCCUAUUGUUUCACUAAGCCAGACUAAGGCAUAAGUGACUAUUCAUGUAAAUUGUGUAUUUAGUAAAAGACUAAUCAGAAACUCAAAAUAACGCAUCUAUUUGUCUUUUAUCUACUUAUGACCUGGAAGCCGCCUCCCUGCUUCAAGUUGUCCUGCCUUUCCCGACGGAACCAAUGUACAUCUUACAUAUACUGAUUGAUAUCUCAUGUCUCCCUAAAAUGUAUAAAACCAAGCUGUGCCCUGACAACCUUGGGCAAUGUCAUCAGGCCCUCCUGAGGCUGUGUCAUAGGCAUGUCCUUAACCUUAGCA